GAUGAACGCUGGCGGCGUGCCUAAUACAUGCAAGUCGAGCGAACGGACGAGAAGCUUGCUUCUCUGAUGUUAGCGGCGGACGGGUGAGUAACACGUGGAUAACCUACCUAUAAGACUGGGGGAACUUCGGGAAACCGUAGCUAAUACCGGAUAAUAUUUUUAACCGCAUGGGUCAAAAGUGAAAGACGGUGUUGCUGUCACUGAUAGAUGGAUCCGCGCUUCAUUAGCUAGUUGGUAAGGUAACGGCUUACCAAGGCAACGAUGCAUAGCCGGCCUGAGAGGGUGAGCGGCCACCCUGGAACUGUGACACGGUCAUGACUCCUACGGGAGGCCGGAGGGGGGAAUCUUGCACAAUGGGAGAAAGCCUGACGGAGCAACGCCGCGUGGGUGAUGAAGGUCUUCGGGUCGUAAAACUCUGUUAUUCGGGAAGAACAUAUGUGUAACUAACUGUGCACGUGUUGACGGUACCUAAACAAGAAGCCACGGCCAACUACGUG
rnacentral:rRNA from 1 species